UGCGCAGGCGGGUUUGUAAGUCAGUGGUGAAAUCCUGCCGCUUAACGGUAGAACUGCCAUUGAUACUGCGAAUCUUGAGUAUGGUUGAGGUAGGCGGAAUGUGUAGUGUAGCGGUGAAAUGCAUAGAUAUUACACAGAACACCAAUUGCGAAGGCAGCUCACUAAGCUAUAACUGACGCUGAGGCACGAAAGCGUGGGGAGCGAACAGGAUUAGAUACCCUGGUAGUCC
rnacentral:rRNA from 1 species